rnacentral:rRNA from 1 species
UGGGUAACCUGCCCAAGAGACUGGGAUAACACCUGGAAACAGAUGCUAAUACCGGAUAACAACACUAGACNCAUGUCUAGAGUUUAAAAGAUGGUUCUGCUAUCACUCUUGGAUGGACCUGCGGUGCAUUAGCUAGUUGGUAAGGUAACGGCUUACCAAGGCAAUGAUGCAUAGCCGAGUUGAGAGACUGAUCGGCCACAUUGGGACUGAGACACGGCCCAAACUCCUACGGAAGGCAGCAG